GUUUGUUAUUUUUUUCCCUGUGAUUUGGUGAGUAAAUCUGACUUAACAUAGAAUAAGGGUUAACUUUAUGCAGUCAUUUAGCCAGAAUUACUGUCUUUUUUUUUAAUAAGGCAAUGAGUGAAAUCUAUUUUCUUCCAAAGCAUUUAAAACAUCGGAAAGUAAUAUAAAGGCCAAAUCCUUUCAAAUCUCAAAUCAGAUGUAAAAACUAACAUCUUAAGUGUUUCUGUCUCUCUCAAAAUUGCUAAGUUGGAAGACCUCAGUACAAAAGUAAUGCUUUUCAGAAGAGUGGAUAAAACAGAUGAACUGGAAGUGGAUGAAAUAGGUGAAUUUUCAAAAGACCCUUCACAAGCCUCCCUUUUGGUUGCAUUUUACAAUAUCCAAGACACCAUGAUGGAGAAUGUGCUCUCCUUGCUUAUGGAGUCGAUUAGUGGCCUGUCAGAAGCCAAUGGUGACUUCAGGGUGGAAGUAAUACCCAAUAUUAAAGUUGCUGUCAUGACUUUUCUCCAAAAAUACUGAUGUCAGGACAUCUGUUAUGUUUUUGUCGGACACAAUAGAGUUCAGCAACUUCAGAUUUUCCCAAGACUUCUGGAACUGACAAGAACCAUCAGUGUUGAAAAUCUGCCACCUCGUGUUGAUAAGAGUUAUGUAACAACUUUCUUUGAGAACCCCACAAAUGGAAGAGAAGGAGUAACCAAUGUGCAGCUUUUCCCAGAGAAGAGUUCAGCCCUGGUUGAGUUUUCUGACUACAAAGUGGUGGAUGCCUACUUGGCCCAAGAGCCUGUCUUCAGUGAAAGACCCAUCUCUGUGUUUCCAUAUUACGUGACUUCGGCAUUGCCUUGUAUGGAAAGGAGAAGCCCCUGAGAAAGUUGCCAGCACCAUUUCUGGUGACUCUGGAUCCUCUCAUAUGGAAGAUCUUGCAGAAGAAGCAUCACCUGAUUGAAAUGAUAAAUUAUAAAAGGGGAAUAUGUCACUGUGAGGUAACAUGGCCCGAGUCAGCUGUAAGGGGCUAGAGGUAACAUUCAAAUCCAUGGCCACUGAACUCAAGGAAGAACAAAGAUCAAUGUCAUCAAAACCUGGAAUGAGGACAUUUCUAAAAACUUCUGCCUAUCAUUUCUAAAUAUCAAGUCACCAAAUUGAAUGUGAAGCCAACGGAUGGGAAGACAUAAAAAACAGCAUAAAGGAUGAUAAGAUUUUGAUUGAGUCUGAUAUAUUCAAGAAGAUAGUCAUAAUAACAGGUUGUUUGGAGGAUGUGAAUAGAACUUACUACAAUUAAAGACACCAACCAUAACAUUGAAAAGGAAAAAAAAAUUUUACAGAGAAUGUGGCUGGUUCUUCUAGAUUUUCUAUUCUUCACAUCAAUGCUUUGAAAAAGUCUAUACCCCAAGGAAUUCUCAGGGUUGGAGGCCAUUAAUAAUGCUUGCACCAAACAUACCAGAGUACAUGCAGGAGAGUAUAAAGAAUGAAAUUCCUGAGCAAGG